rnacentral:hammerhead_ribozyme from 1 species
AUCCAGCUGACAAGUCCGAAAUAGGACUAAACGUUUGUCUUGGAU